GCAGGAACUAGGCCGGGCUGCUGGGCGUAGCCUGUAACCGCAAACCGUCCUUAUGGCGGGGCCGAAGCCUGAGGGCGAUGCCUUGUUUGCAUUUCAGCCCAUGUCCCCUACAAUGAUAUCCUGUCCUGUUUGGCUGUAUGCGUAGUGAACCGGGUCAGGUCCUGGCGGAAGCAGCCCUAAGCUACGCAUGCGGUGCUUACAGGGUAGCAGGAUUGAGAAAGGGACAUGGUAAACUGAAAUGCAGGCAGGCAUCCACCGAUGGCACGUUCCUGC
rnacentral:SRP_RNA from 1 species